rnacentral:hammerhead_ribozyme from 1 species
AUCGAGCUGAAGAAUCCCAAAUAGGACGAAACGCGCGUCCUGGAU